UACGGAGGGUGCAAGCGUUAUCCGGAUUUACUGGGUUAAAGGGUGCGUAGGUGGGUUGGUAAGUCAGUGGUGAAAUCUUCGAGCUUAAACUCGGAAACUGCCAUUGAUACUAUCAAUCUUGAAUAUCCUGGAGGUAAGCGGAAUAUGGUCAUGUAGCGGUGAAAUGCUUAGAUAUGACAUAGAACACCCAUGCGAAGGCAGCUUCUAACGGGAUCAUUGACACUGAGGCACGAAAGCGUGGGGAUCAAACAGG
rnacentral:rRNA from 1 species